UUUCGUGUUGCUUCCCAACCUCCAUGAAAGCUUGAUAAGAAAGCUCCACAACCUUCCUUAAAUAGCUCCAAAUUUCAUGCUUUUGGUGCACCCUUUCCAUAAACCUUUGUGCUCUUCCAUUCUCUCACUUUAAAACCCUUGAAAAAUCUUGUUUCCAUACUCUCUCUCACAAGUUAGGUGUUUUAGAGAGAGAAAGAGGAAGCUUUACAAUAGUUUGGAGAAUCGUUGGAAAGAAUUUCAAAGUUUUAAAGCUAUUAAGGUGAGUAGUAAAUUUGAGUUAAAAUUUUAGUGUUGAGAAUGACUAGAGAUUUGAUUUGUGAAUAUUUUGUAGUUGAGAUUGCUAAUUCACUUUGGAAUGAUAGGAUAGUGAAAAUGGAUAGAAAUUUAAUGGCCAUUUGAAGUAAGCAAAGAGAAAGUUUUUGGACUCUAUAAGUAUGUGAAUUAACAUAAUUGUGAUGUUAAUGUGAUCAUAGGUUCCAACGAAGCCACACCGUCCCAAUUGGACCAUUAGGGAAGUUAGAGUCGGUUAAAGGCUCAAUAAACACCAAUGAGUGGACGUGCAUUUCAAAAAUUGUUUUGGGAAUGUAAACUUAUUUGCACUAUAUACUUGAAUGAUUUUAUUCAACUUUCUUUAAAAAUGAGUGCUUUGGGAACAAGCUUUUGAUAAAUUGAUUUUAUGUUGUGACAUGUGGCUGUUAUGGAUGGUUGAACUACUACACUAUGUUGAUAUAUAUAUACAAAUAAUGUUCUGUAUUGAUAUUGACCAGGCUAUGUGCAAGUGGGAGUGCAUAUAAGCCGUUGCUGACUCAGCUAUGUGCAAGUGGGAGUGCACAUAAGCCAUUGCUAACUUGACUAUGUGCGAGUGGGAGUGCGCAUAUGCCAUUGCAUAUGAGAUGAUGAUGAUGGGAGGGUGUACAUGAUGAGUGAUAUAUAUAUAUAUAUAUAUAUAUAUAUAUAUAUAUAUAUAUAUANNNNNNNNNNNNNNNNNNNNNNNNNNNNNNNNNUAUAUAUAUAUAUAUAUAUACAUAUAUGGUAUAUGGUUGUAAUGCAAAAAUGUGAGCAUUUGAAUUGUUGAAAUUUGGGAGUUUGUAUGUGUUACAUGUUGCUUUUGUUAUUUUAGCAGGAUAGCAUUGAUUUAAGGGAAAAAGGAAACUUUUUUCUUGAUGUUCUGAUUCUCGUUACAGCGAGAAACUCUCGGGUUUUGAAGGGGUUGGCUGGCCGAAAACUUGCUGCAGCAAGAAUCCAUUCUCUCUGCAGUGAGAAAGGUACUGUGGCUUCUCGUUGCAGCGAGAAACUUUCUGUUUUAAAACCCAAAAUUUCGCUGCAGCGAGAUUGAAUCUGGCUGUAGCAAAAAUUUUUUUGUUUUUCUCCCCAUUUGGUUCGGUUGCUACCCUAUUUUUCAUUUCUUUGGUACCAUAGUUGAGCAUGGAUUUCCAACAUUAAGGAAUAAAUGAAUUAAGUUUAAAAUGAGGAGGUUUGGUGAGAAACCCUUGGCCAGUUAAGAAACCCUCGGCUAGAUGAUAAUUUAAGUCAAGUGUUGCUACAGCAAAAAUUCAUUCUCGCUGCAACGAGGACCCGUCGUUUAUUUGACUUGAUUCGCAUGAAUGCUAUUAAAGUUUUCACUCUCCAAAUCCUUUGUUGAGCAUGGACGCUUUUCAAUAAGUGACUUUUUUUCUCAUGGGGGGUUUACAUGAGGGGUUUAAUAAGAACUCAAAUAAAUUGCAUUGUUUUGAAAAAUGAAUGCAUUAUGAUUUCGUUAAACAUUCCUUAUGGUAUGCUUGUUCCCUUCUUGUUCACUCACUAGGUUUAUACUCACUGUUUUCAACUUCAUGUUUUCAGAUCACGAGGCAGCUGGUAACUAGGUCGAAGUGUCUUCGUAUAUUCAACCCUUGGUAGGUGUCUCGGCAUUCAGUAGCUGUACAUUCAUCCGAGUCUCUCCGUUGGAAGUCAAGUAUUCUUUUCUUGUGUAUAGACAAACCUAAUGUAAAUUAUUAAGAUACAUGUUGUAGACAAUGUAUAGACACUUGUUUGGUAUGCUAGUAUGAGGUGGCAAUGUUUAAUAUUAUUUUGAUCAUAAGUUAUGAAACGUGACUUAGCAG
rnacentral:lncRNA from 1 species